AUGGAGGAGGCGAGCCGGCAGGACCCUGAGAGGGAGCAGCCCCAGGGCCAGGAGCUCCAGGCAGCAGGCAGAGAGGCACCAGUGGGCUGGGAGGGCAGGAGAGGCUGUGAGAGCCCAGGAGCUCUGUGGACCAGGGCAGCGCCUGAGCACAAAGGAGUCCUGGAGGAGGUGGGGGAUGAGCUGGGAGGGAGCAGAGAGCAAGCUGCGGGGCCAGCCUCCACCACGGCCCCAAAGGUCUUCCCGCUGUCCCCCCGCUGUGGGGGCACGUCCGACUCCACGUUGUCCCUGGGCUGCCUGGUCUCCGGCUACUUCCCCGAGCCGGUGACUGUGUCCUGGAACUCGGGCGCCCUGACCAGCGGCGUGCACACCUUCCCGUCCGUCCUGCAGUCCUCAGGGCUCUACUCUCUGAGCAGCAUGGUGACAGUGCCCUCCAGCAGCGCGUCCAGUCAGACGUACACCUGCAACGUAGCCCACGCGGCCAGCAACACCAAAGUGAACAAGGAUGUGCCCAUUGGAAAUCCUGAGCCACCUUGCAAAUGCCCACCCGUUGACCCCCCGGGAGCGCCCUCCGUCUUCCUCUUUGCCCCACAACCCAAGGACGUCCUGAUGAUCUCCCGGACACCCGAGGUCACAUGUGUGGUAGUGGAUGUGGCCUCAGAUGACCUCGAGGUACAGUUCACCUGGUACGUGGAUGGCACUGAGGUGAAAACGUUAAAUAAGAAAGCAGAGGAGCAGCAGUUCAACGGCACCUACCGCGUGGCCAGUGCCUUCCCAGUCGCGCACCAGGACUGGCUGAAGGGCAAAGAGUACACCUGCAAGGUCAAGAGCAGCUCCAUCCCAGCCCCCAUCGAGAGGACCAUCCACAAGCCCAAAGGACAAGCCCGAGCACCACAGGUGUACGCCCUGCCCCCACACCCAGACGAGCUGGCCAAGAACACCAUCAGUGUGACCUGCCUGGUCAAAGACUUCUACCCGCCAGAAAUCAACGUGGAGUGGCAGCACAAUGACCAGCCAGAGCCGGAGUCCAAGUACAUCACGACCCCGCCGCUGAAGGACAAGGACGGGUCCUUCUUCGUGUACAGCAAGCUCUCCGUGGACAAAUCCAGGUGGCAACAGGGACAGGUCUUCGCGUGUGCGGUGAUGCACGAGGCUCUGCACAAUCACUACACCCAGAAGCUCAUCUCCCAGACUUCGGGUAAAUGAGCAGCGCACCCAGCGCCCAGCGACCCCCACCCAUGUACACGCCCCAGGCUCAGCAUUAAAUAAAGCACCCAGCGCUGCCCUGGGACC